rnacentral:rRNA from 1 species
AUACGGAGGGGGCUAGCGUUGUUCGGAAUUACUGGGCGUAAAGCGCACGUAGGCGGAUUAAAAAGUUAGAGGUGAAAUCCCAGGGCUUAACCCUGGAACUGCCUUUAAAACUAGUAGUCUAGAGUUCGAGAGAGGUGAGUGGAAUUCCAAGUGUAGAGGUGAAAUUCGUAGAUAUUAGGAGGAACACCAGUGGCGAAGGCGGCUCACUGGCUCGAUACUGACGCUGAGGUGCGAAAGCGUGGGGAGCAAACAGGAUUAGAAACCCGAGUAGUCC